GAUGAACGCUGGCGGCGUGCCUAAUACAUGCAAGUCGAGCGAACGGACGAGAAGCUUGCUUUUCUGAUGUUAGCGGCGGACGGGUGAGUAACACGUGGAUAACCUACCUAUAAGACUGGGAAAACUUCGGGAAACCGGAGCUAAUACCGGAUAAUAUUUUGAACCGCAUGGUUCAAAAGUGAAAGACGGUCUUGCUGUCACUUAUAGAUGGAUCCGCGCUGCAUUAGCUAGUUGGUAAGGUAACGGCUUACCAAGGCAACGAUGCAUAGCCGACCUGAGAGGGUGAUCGGCCACACUGGAACUGAGACACGGUCCAGACUCCUACGGGAGGCAGCAGUAGGGAAUCUUCCGCAAUGGGCGAAAGCCUGACGGAGCAACGCCGCGUGAGUGAUGAAGGUCUUCGGAUCGUAAAACUCUGUUAUUAGGGAAGAACAUAUGUGUAAGUAACUGUGCACAUCUUGACGGUACCUAAUCAGAAAGCCACGGCUAACUACGUG
rnacentral:rRNA from 1 species